rnacentral:snoRNA from 1 species
UAGCACGGAUGUCAAAUUGCAAUCUAGUCGCGUUCCCUCUUCAUGAGAGAACCAUCAAUGGCUAUGGUUGUGCCGAAGAUGUGCUGAAAUCAAACCUCACUCUGCAAGUAGCCUGGUAUCCGGGCACGUCGUCAUCAGGGACUCACUUUCUACGGCAAGGAGUCUGUUGCCGGCGGAUUGCGUACAUUU